UGAUGACUUACAGUCUGCAGUCCAAU
rnacentral:piRNA from 1 species